GCUUACCCAAUAAACCAAUUGAACUUGAUCCAAUCAAGCCCAAACUAAAUUUAAUUAAAUCAUAUUCAAUUAGACUUAAUCUCAGUCCAUUGGUUUAACCAAAAUUAAGCCAAUUAACAAUCAAAUUGCUAAUUGAUCCUCCUGCAACACUUGCACUAGGUUAAAUGUCAAUCGUAUUGAUCGUUUAACCCUAGAACGAUUCUUAAUCAUUGAUCAACCAUCCAAUCGGAUCAUGAACUCUAAU
rnacentral:lncRNA from 1 species